AUAUAUGUAUGUGUGUGUGUGUAUAUUAUAUAUGUGUGUAUAUAUGUAUGUAUAUAUGUAUAUAUGUGUAUGUAUAUGUGUAUUAUAUAUGUGUAUAUAUAUGUGUGUGUAUAUGUGUGUGUGUGGUGUGUAU
rnacentral:snoRNA from 1 species